GGGUUCGAUUCUGGCUCAGAUUGAACGCUGGCGGGAUGCUUUACACAUGCAAGUCGAACGGCAGCACGGACUUCGGUCUGGUGGCGAGCGGCGAACGGGUGAGUAAUGUAUCGGAACGUGCCUGGUAGCGGGGAUAACUACGCGAAAACGCGGUAGCUACCGCAGCUGGCCCUUCGGGGGAAAGCGGGGACCUUCGGGCCUCGCACUAUUAGAGCGGCCGAUAUCGGAUUAGCUAGUUGGUGGGGUAACGGCUCACCAAGGCGACGAUCCGUAGCUGGUUUGAGAGGACGACCAGCCACACUGGGACUGGAGACAGCCCAGACUCCUACGGGAGGCAGCAGUGGGGAAUUUUGGACAAUGGGGGAAACCCCGAUCCAGCCAUCCCGCGUGUGCGAUGAAGGCCUUCGGGUUGUAAAGCACUUUUGGCAGGAAAGAAACGCACGGGAUAAUACCCCGUGCAACUGACGGUACCUGCAGAAUAAGCACCGGCUAACCAUGUGCCAGCAGCCGCGGCAAUACGUAGGGUGCAAGCGUUAAUCGGAAUUACUGGGCGUAAAGCGUGCGCAGGCGGUUCGGAAAGAAAGAUGUGAAAUCCCAGAGCUUAACUUUGGAACUGCAUUUUUAACUACCGAGCUAGAGUGUGUCAGAGGGAGGUGGAAUUCCGCGUGUAGCAGUGAAAUGCGUAGAUAUGCGGAGGAACACCGAUGGCGAAGGCAGCCCUUCCUGAUAACACUGACGCUCAUGCACGAAAGCGUGGGGAGCAAACAGGAUUAGAUACCUUGGUAGUCCACGCCCUAAACGAUGUCAACUAGCUGUUGGGGCCUUCGGGCCUUGGUAGCGCAGCUAACGCGUGAAGUUGACCGCCUGGGGAGUACGGUCGCAAGAUUAAAAACCAGCGAAUUCGAUUGGACCAGCAAGCGGUGGAUGAUGUGGAUUAAUUCGAUGCAACGCGAAAACCUUACCUACCCUUGACAUGUCUGGAAUCCCGAAGAGAUUUGGGAGUGCUCGCAAGAGAACCGGAACACAGGUGCUGCAUGGCUGUCGUCAGCUCGUGUCGUGAGAUGUUGGGUUAAGUCCCGCAACGAGCGGCAACCCUGUCAUUAGUUGCUACGAAAGGGCACUCCAUCGAGACUGCCGGUGACAAACCGGAGGAAGGUGGGGAUGACGUCAAAGUCCCUGCGGCCCUUAUGGGUAGGGCUUCACACGUCAUACAAUGGUCGGGGCAGAGGGUCGCCAACCCGCGAGGGGGAGCCAUCUCAGAAACCCGAUCGUAGUCCGAUCGCAGUCUGCAACUCGACUGCGUGAAGUUGGAAUCGCUAGUAAUCGCGGAUCAGCAUGUCGCGGUGAAUAUUCCCGGGUCUUGUACACACCGCCCGUCACACCAUGGGAGUGGGUUUUACCAGAAGUAGUUAGCCUAACCUCGUAAGGAGGGAUUACCACGGUAGGAUUCAUGAUCAGGGUGAAGUCGUAACAAGGUAA
rnacentral:rRNA from 1 species